rnacentral:tRNA from 1 species
CGGGACGUAGCGCAGCAUGGUUAGCGCACCAGACUGGGGGUCUGGGGGCCGGCGGUUCGAGUCCGCCCGUCCCGACCA